UUUAAAUACAAUCAUGAGUUUCCGUGUCCAACUUUAAUCCGUUUUAUUUAAAAGUUUUUUAUAUGAUUGAUAUUUUUAUUGAUACUAGACGAUAAAACAUGAAUAUUACUUUGUGUGACUUAUGUUUUUAUUUUUUUUUAAAAAUAAAUAAGAUAAACUAUUAAAGUUGAACACGAAAAUUUACGGUUAGACUUAAA
rnacentral:pre_miRNA from 1 species